GGCCCUUCCUCCCCUCCUGGCUGCAAAGCCACCCCCUCCCCCACGGUUACACACACUUCACACACACCCCACACCCCCACCCCACCCCCAGGACCUGUCCUCUGUCCUGGCUGCAAAGCCCCCGCACCCCAACUUGACUUGAGUCUCAUCUGAAUCAGAAUUGUGGCAGCAGCUUCUGACCUCACCUGGGAUUCCAGCCAGGCCAGGGGGCCAUGGAGGCAGCAGAGGAAGUUAGGCUGCUGAGCCGGAGGAGGAGUGACUGACAGGCAGCCCCACAGACGAGGCCUGACGAGUUCUGUGCAGCCCAGGGAGUGGGGAGCCCUCAGCACAGAGCCCCGGAUGGACACUGCAUGGGGGCAGGGCCGCUCUGUGAGCUCGCUGCAGGCCUCCUGGGGUGGACGUCUAGCCAGGGCCCGUCAGGGGCCAGACACUUGCUCCAGAUCGUGAAGAAUCUCACAAUGGCGGCAGAGCACUGGACCAGCCCCAGCGCCUCCCGGGGUCCUAGGUGUGAAUGGACCUGAUUGCCAUCCCGACUUUAAGGCAGUGCCCCCGGGACUCAGAGGCUGAGUUGCUGACCCAGGACACACAGUGGGUUCGGGGCAGGGCUGGCGCCCACCACCAGCACGCGCUUGACGCUCACCUUGGAGACCCGUACUUUGGCUGAGGUUCACCCUUGCAGUCACAAACCUGGGCAUCAGAUCAGAUCAGUCGCUCAGUCGUGUCUGACUCUUUGCGACCCCAUGAAUCGCAGCACACCAGGCCUCCCUGUCCAUCACCAACU
rnacentral:lncRNA from 1 species